rnacentral:rRNA from 1 species
AUGAUUCCAAGGAGCCGGACUCCUCUCCGGACUCCGAACCAUUCGCACCUCUGCCGAUCUAAUCCGAUUGGGCGCCGAUCAUGGAGUUUACUGCCGCAGACAUCUUUCAGCACUCGCCCUUUGGCGAUAUUAUAA